UACGAAGGCCUCAAGCGUUAUCCGGAUUCAUUGGGCGUAAAGGGUCCGCAGGCGGCUAUGUAAGUUGGUGGUUAAAUCUUCGGGCUUAACUUGGAGACUGCCAUCAAAACUACAUAGCUAGAGACCGGAAAAGGUAAGCGGAACACACGGUGUAGUCGUAAUAAGCGCUGAUAUCGUGUGGAACACCAAAGGCGAAGGCAGCUUACUAGGACGUGUCUGACGCUCAGGGACGAAAGCGUGGGUAGCGAAUGGG
rnacentral:misc_RNA from 1 species